rnacentral:misc_RNA from 1 species
CCGUGGCACCAGAUCAGCAUGG